rnacentral:tRNA from 1 species
GCGUCCGUGGCGAAACUGGGAUACGCGCUGGACUCAGACUCCAGUGCCCGAACGGGCAUGCAGGUUCGACUCCUGCCGGACGUAC